UUACAGACUGCAGUCUGCCCCACGAAGUGGGGGCUAGAUGAUGACUGGCAGUAGCCACUGUGACAAGGUGGGAAUAGGGGCUUGAGAGUUUCCCUGGAAG